rnacentral:lncRNA from 1 species
AUGAUUCAAUGUAAUAUAAAUUUAUGCCAAUAGUUGUAGUCAAUAGUGUUGACGGAGACGUCCGGCCCAAUUAGGCCUCUGCAUACACUAAUGGUCGUAUCAAAGGAGACAAACAGGAUAUUCCUUAAUGGAGACGUCCGGCCCAAGGCCCAUCAGCCCAGCUCCUUCUCCACACUCUUCGGCUAUAAAUAGAGAACUUCACAUCCAGGUGUCGAUUCUGAUCAAGCAGUCAUUAGGCGAGGAAAGAAAGAAGAUUAAUCUUUGUGAACGAGACUAAUCCCCUAAGUUAAAACCCCCCGAGUUAACUUGGUGUUUCUUCAUAGGGAUUUUGGUUGAAUUUGUUUGUACACAACAAAAUCUAGCUGAUCAUUGAACUAAUGGGUUAGCCUAAGUAUAUAGUAAGUACACAGGUUGAUUGUCGAGAUGGGAUUAAAGUCGAGCUAAAAUUCCUUGUGAUAAGAUACCCAAUUAUUUUCUAAUACAGUGCUACAAGCAGAAUUUAAUGUGGAAAGCUUACGUGUAGAUUUUGAAACAUUUGUGAUACAUCAUUUAUAGGUAUUUGUUCAUACCUACAAGAACGUUCUGGUUGAUGUUAAUU